rnacentral:rRNA from 1 species
GUUUAACUAAUACAUGAUAAUAUAUAUUUACGGUCAUCGUAGAUAUAUCAAAGUGUUAGCGGUAUAGGAUGGACCCGCGUCUGAUUAGCUAGUUGGUGAGAUAACUGCCCACCAAGGCGACGAUCAGUAGCCGACCUGAGAGGGUGAUCGGCCACAUUGGAACUGAGACACGGUCCAAACUCCUACGGGAGGCAGCAGGA